rfam:Trichoderma reesei QM6a unplaced genomic scaffold TRIREscaffold_44, whole genome shotgun sequence.
ACAUACGACCACAGCCACCUGAGAAAUCUGGAUCCCGUCUGAUCUCCGAUUGAUAACCAGAUGAGCGCCGGAGUAGUAGCUGGGUCGGUGACGACCAGCGAACUCCUGGUGUUGUAUGUC